rnacentral:rRNA from 1 species
ACGAACCGUACGAACGUUAUUCGGAAUCACUGGGCUUAAAGGGUGCGUAGGCGGCGCGACAAGUUGGGUGUGAAAUCCCUCGGCUCAACCGAGGAACUGCGCCCAAAACUGUCGUGCUCGAGGGAGACAGAGGUGAGCGGAACUUAGGGUGGAGCGGUGAAAUGCGUUGAUAUCCUAAGGAACACCGGUGGCGAAAGCGGCUCACUGGGUCUCUUCUGACGCUGAGGCACGAAAGCUAGGGUAGCGAACGGG